UAUAGCUAAAAUCAUUGUAUACUGAUUCUUAAUAUGGAUAUACUUUCCUUUUGUUCUGAAUAAUGUUGGGAGGAGUAAUGAACAUAAAUAUGUUCAUUGUUGGACAGAAAUAAAAAGAAGCAAUAUACAUGGAUCAUGACUAUUUCUUAUAUCCUCCUGGUAUGGGCUAACUAUAUUGAUUAGCUUUUGUCAACUUGAUACAUGCUUUUCUUUGGGGAAAAGAACAAUUGAGAACAUUUUUCCAUGUGAUUGGCCUAUAGGAAAGUUGAUGGGGCAUUUUCUUGAUUAAUGGUUGAUGUGGGAGGACCCAGUCCACUGUGGGUGGUGCCAUCCCUGGACAUGUGGUCCUCAGAUGUAUGAAAAGGAAGACUGAGCAAGUCAAGGAGAGCAAGUCACUAAGCAGCGUUCGUCCAUGGCCUCUGCUUCAGUCCUGGACUCCUGACUCCAGUCUUGAUUUCCUACCCUGAUGUUCUUCAAUAACAGACAAUAUGGGGAAGCGUAAGCCAAAUAAAAAAUAAAUUCUUUCCUUUCCAAGUUGCUUUUGGUCAUGUAUUUCAUCCCAGAAAUACAAAACUUAACUAAGACAUUGACUGAUGGGACUUAACACCUUAAAAUUCUAUCUCAAAUGUCACUUUUGGUUUUUUUGGCAAACCUGAAGAGAAAAGAGAGAUGAGAGUCAAGGAGUAUCAGCAUUGGCUACUCUUAGACAUUAUCUAGAUAAGAAGCAGCUCAGAUAUGGGUUUAACUUUCUCAUUGUUGAAUGAGUGGCUUGUCUUCCAGGUUUGGCUUGAAGGCACUGCUUCUUGUUACAGCUCUUCUGAAUCCAGGUUCAUUACUGAUUGUCUGAACUUUCAGGACCCAUGUUUUCACACUGCUUCCAACCUUACUGGUGAGAGUGCUGGAAAGCCUGAGGAGGCUAUAACUUCUAGCCUUCCCAGUCAAACUCAGUUCCAGCACAGCAGUUAUGGAACAGGAUGUCAAUAUGGAUGUAGAUCAGCCACCAGAAUGGCAGAUUAGUGUCAGAGUUAACUUAUGAACAUGUAUAGAGGAAGAAGCACCUGUCAUAAGCACUAAGAGUGUUCCAUUGUUUCCUUUGCAUCGACUGUGAAGAAGUUGCCAUAACCAAUGAGCAUCGCCGUGGGGAUGGGGAGUCGCUUAAGUUUAUUAAGCUGAAUGAGAGUAGGAUGUCAUAUUUCUGUUUUAAAUUAUAGCUCUAAUGAGCAAGUGAACAAUUAACUGAACCAGGAGCACUGAUAUUCAGACACCAUUUUAAUAUAUGAUGCUCAUAUAAUCUAUAAUGCCAUCUGAAUGGGCUGCAUGCACUGAAAUACUGACUCUAUUUCCCUACCCUAUUCCAUAUCAAUCAAACUUCUAAACUAGAAACAGCACAUGCACAGAAUUAUCAGCUUAUAGUUCAUCUGCCACAAUGUGAAGACUUCCAUACAAUCACCACCCAAGUCAGAAUGUAGACCAUUGUGAACAACUGCUCAUCUCUCUGUGUCCUCUCCAAUUUCAUCCCUUUCCUUCCUCAAAUGCAACAACAGUUCAGACUUUUCAUAUCUGUUUUGCCUGACUUUAAACUCUCUAUAAAUGGAAACAUUACAUAGUACUUUUAUUUCCUGCUUUUUUUUUCAAACAUAUUAUUUAUGAGAUUCAUUUAUGGUAUUGGUGGAAGAAAUCUGCCAGCCAAUCUGCCUUCAUUCUUUCAGGCUUGCUGUUACAGCGAGUGAGGCAACUUUCUAUGUACUUUACAGCUUUGGCAGUCAGAACAUCAGCUCCUGUACUUGAAAGCCAGGAAUGCCAUGAGAUCAAUGACUCUCCAGCAGAUAUCAGGGAUGUAUGGGGGUUUACAUGUAUAUGUUCCAGCUCUUAACUGCUGGUUGGGUGACUCUAAGGCGUAUAGUUUAUGCUGGUCUUGAGAAAUUCCCAGUGGAAUUAGUUCUACUCACAAUGGUGAUUAUAGGCUGCCUUUUCUGCCUAGUCUCAUUUCUCAAUUCCUCCAGGAAUAUUUGCUAGAGAUACCUUCUAUAUAAAUCAACUGGACCUGUAUUUUUAUCUCUGGAUCUGUUUCUGGGAGCUUAAUAUAAUACAGGUAAGGUUGAAUUUUUUUUGUGUGCUAUAUUACUGUUACAGUAAUCAAUACAUCUUAUUUACAUAUUAUCAAAAACUUACCUGGUACACAUACCUCCACCUUUGAGGUGGUUUGAAUGAGAAUUACCCCUGUAGGCUCAUAUAUUUGAAUGCUUGGUUAUUAGGGAGUGGUGCUACUUGACAGGGAUUAGGAGGUGUGGCCUUCUUGAAGUAGAUGUGGCCUUGUUGGAGGAAGUGUGUCACUGGGGUUGGGCUUUGGAUUUUCAAAUGCUCAAGUCAUUCCCAGUGUCUCUCUUUACCUGCUGCCUGUGGAUACAGAUGCAGAACUCUCAGCUCCUCCAGUACCAUGUCUGCCUGCAUGCCACCAUGCUCCCCACCAUGAUGACAAUGGCCUAAACUUCUGAACUGUAAGCAAGCCUCAAUUAAAUGCUUCUUUUAUAAGAGUUGCCUUGGUCAUGGUGUCUCUUUACAGCAAUAGAACAUUGACUAAUACAGCCUUCAUACAGAAUAUAUGUACCAUGAACAGAAAUGUGGUGUACAUAUGGCACUAAAGCUUACUGUGGUAAAGCUUCAGAUGGAAUAAGAAGUAGUUCUGUGAUUGUCUCUAGCUGUCAAGUAUCGAAAAAUUGUAUAGUGGCCCAAAGUAUGAGUUCCAAAUAAAGAAGUUGAUUUGGACCAUGCAUCUGUCUGGUUUAGUGUCAAAACAAAGGCUUGCUAACAAGUGAGUCAUGUACUUAUACCUAGGAAUUCAUUUUCCUUAAAGAGUCUGUCAUGCCAUACACUACAUACACCAAUAUAUUAAGUCAUAAAAUAUGGAAGAAGAAAUAGUAACACAUUUUUCCUGCUAGGAUUGAAGUGGUAUCGGUUUAGUUUGAGAGUGAGAAAAGUUUUGCAUUUCAAAAAUGUAUUUUUCUGAUCUCAAAAUAUUCUUUCUUAAGGUCCCAUUUGUUAAGUUGGAGGUUUUAAAAAUAUAUCAUUCUUGUUGCAAAUUUAAUUUAUAAGAAAAGUUGCUUUAACUUUCAGUAUCAUCCUCAUUGAAACGAGUCUUUCUAUGAAAUUGGUACUUUCUCAUUUGCUUAUCUAUAUGGAAAGAUAUUUGCUUGCUGAUAGAUAUAAGAUGAUUUCCAUCUCAUAUUGUCUGGGCCUUUGAGUCUUUCCUUAAAGAUAAAGUUAAACUAGAAAUGAUAGGUUUAAUUGUUUUUGUUUUUGUUUUUUUCCCCCAUAUUUUAUUUAGGGUCUGUUGGUAUUUGCAGCAGCAUGCAGGUAAAACUCCCCACAUCAAUUUGUAUAUCUUUCCACUCGUUUUAUUUAUUUAUUUAUUUAUUUUUAACUUGUUAUAGGUUCUUUGUGGAUUUCACAUCAUGCAUCCCGAUCCCACUCAUCUCCUCAUCCCCUCACUUCUUCCCUCUGCUCUCGUAACCUCCCCUCAAAAAACAAAAUUUAAUAGUAAAACAAAAACAAAAGCCAAUAACAAUAAUAAAACAAAAUGAAAUAAAAUAAAACCCAAACCCCCAAACAAAAAAACAAAAAAUCAAACACCAACAACAACAACAAAAUCUUGGAGUGAAAGCUGUAGUUUGGACCAGUGAGUCACACAGUUUACCCUUCAGUCCAUACAUCUUUACUUGUAGGUGUUCAUUGCAAGGAAUCACUGAUCUGGUUUGAUGCCCCUGGCUUCUGCUACACUAUCAAUACUGAGCCCUUACUAGGACUCCUCUUGGAUAUCCUGUUGUUGCCUUGAGUCAUGGAGGUUCUGUAGCUUUGGAUCUGCAGGUCUGGCACCUUAUCAGACUCUGGCAGUUCAUAGAUGAGGGGGGUGUUGGGGUGGGCUAUCUUGUGGUUCCAGUUCUAGGCCUGGGUGGUAGCUGGGUUGGUCAGCCUGCCAGCUUUCCCUCAUGCACACCGCCCAGGUGGGUUCUCCAGUACAGUCCACUAGCUCACUCAAUGUAGCAGAUAACAAGGAGCAAGGCUAGUUCUCCUGCUGUCAAGCCCUUGGGUCUGACUUGCCUGCACUCACAUCACCAGGCAGGGCCAGCUCUAUUGUUUUGGCCAGAGGAGGUGCAGGGCCUGCUUUCUGAAUUGCUAACCUUGGUGAGGGUAGGGCUUCUUCUGUUCUCAUGUCCCUGAGUCUGGCUCUCCCACAGGCAGCAAGGAGUAGGGUGAAGGGCAUAAUUCCCUCACCCUUGCCACCCCAUCACAUAGGAGAGAGGGGGUAGAGGAAGAUCUCCUGCUCUCAUGCCCAUAGGCCUGGCUCGCCUGUGAUCCUGCCAACAGGAUUAGCUCUACUGUGCUGCCUAAGUGAGGUCCAGGGCCCACUCUUGAAUGCUGCAGUUGGUGAGGGGCAGGAUCAGCUUUCCCACUCUCUUGAUCCCGGGACCAGCUUUUCCUGCCUGCAGUAGGUAGCAAGGGGCAAGGGGCAAGGAGGUUAUCUCUCCCCCACCCAUGCCACCACAUGACAGACGGUGGGGCUAGCUCUCCCACUCUCAUGUCGUCAGGGCCUACUUACCCGCAUCUCCACCAGCAGGGACAGCUUGUUGUAAUACUAGUUCAUAAUAGUUCAAUUAUGUAAAGAGUUGUUGCAUUUGUUUAUGUUGCAUUUGUUUAAUUAUGAAAAGAUGUGUUGCCGUUUUGCCUUGCCUGCCUAAAGUACCUGACUGGUCUAAUAAAGAGCUGAGCAGCCAAUAGCUAGGCAGAGAAAGGAUAGGUGGGGCUGGCAGGCAGGAAGAAUAAACAGAGAAGGAAUUUGGGCUCUGGAGGAAAGGAGAAGAGAAGGAGAAGGAGAUGGGGAUGCCAGGGGCCAGUCACUGAACCACCCAGCCAGCCAGCUAGCCAGCCAUAGAGAAAGCAGGAAAGUAAGACAAGGAAAGAAAGGUAAAAAGCCCUGGGGCAAAACAUAGAUAAAGAGAAACAGGAGAAUUAAAGUUAGAAAAGCUAGCUAGAAACAGGUCUAAGAUGAUGCUGGGCAUUUGUGACAAAGAAUAAAAAGUCUCUGUCUGUAUUUGGGAUCUGGGUGGUGGACCUCUAAAAGGAAAAAAGCCAAUUACAUUUUGGCACACCAAAGUAGGGUCUGAGUUUCCUCCUUGGGCUUGAUAAAGCUGAACAAACAAACAAACAAACAAACAAACAAAUGAACAAAAAAUGGCAUGUUAAGUAGAAACAGCAAGCUAAGUAAAAACACCUGCCAUAGUGUGGGUACCCACUUCCUAGAGCUAGGUAGGUUGAAUGUAGUUCCUGGCCAAACACAACUCUGAGUUGAAUGCAGCUCAGGAUGGGGCUGCAGGCUUAGGCUUGGCUUUCACAACCUGAGAAGGGGGCAGAGUCAGCCACCAGAAUCUUGGCAGAGGAUCCAGCUGUGGCUUAGGAGUUGAAGUCUGGCUCAUCAGAAAAGUCUUCAAACAUGCAGUAAAGACAGAUCCAGAUGGUAAAAAAAACCUCUAAACAGGUUACAGUGUGCUUUGAAAUGUAUAUAGGCUUAAGAAAGUAAAGAAAAUGGGUAUAGACAGUCAUAGAAAAAAUAGUUUAUAAGUAAUCAGGUCUUUAAAGAAAGAGUAAAGUAAUCUAAAAGAGUAAAUCACAUACAGAUGGGAAAUAUACAGAGUGUGGAUCCUGUAUGGUGUUGUGCUGUCUUUGAAUUUUUUGAGUGCUGAUGAAUGAAUAACAGCUGCUGAGAAACACUGUAUUGCAAACAGGACUGCUAAAUUGAACCAACCUAGAUACUUUAGGAAUAUAUUAACUUUAAAAAAGUCAAAAAUAUGUUAUGUAGAAGAAGAGGUUUUGCUUAUGUUUCCACAGCAAAGGAGAGGUUGUGGAUUCCUUCAAGGUUGAUAGAGAUCAGGUUUGAUCUGGGGAGAAGCCCUGAAAUCUUGACUACAGAUACCAAGAAAUAAACCAAGAAAAAGCUACAAGAUAGGUGAUGUAUAUACUGACCCCUCUACUAUGGGAACAGCUCUGAGAUUGGAUGAAAUUCCAAUUUUCCCAGGGUCCCCUGGGGAUGUCUUUGCCCAAAGAUAACAGGAAGCAGUCUAGAGAACACUAUGCUCACAUUCCCAAUAGGUUGGGUGGGUGGUUUUUGGUUAUUCAGUGGGUUGUGGAUGUUUGUUAUCACUUAGGAGGAAUAUAGGAUAAAAUGACAACUACUAGCCUCAAAUAUUUUGUUAUUUUACAUUGAUAUGGAUUUUAGUAUAUUGAUUCAAAUUUAGUUAUUUUUGUUAUACUGUAUAUAUGUUUCUACUCUUAUUUGGGAUAUAAUGCUUAUGCAGUUCAUUUAAAAAUGAAAUGUACAAUUAAGAAAUGCAGGUUAAUGGUUAGUCAUCCAUAAAAAUCAAACUUGUAGCCAUAUUAGAUAUGUUUUCAAAGUUAACAUAUUUUAGAUAUAUAGGUGAUUUUAAAAUACUUCAGAGACCUAUUUCAUUUAAGAUGUUUAGUAACCUGAGGCUUUUCAUGAAAGUGAAACAUGUCUGCUCCUGGCAGCACUAGUUUAAUUCAGAGAAGAUAAUGGACAUCAAAGAAACUCCAUAAGGAGCAACAUUCCCACAUCCCUCAGUGGUAACAGGAGCCACAGACAUCAAUCAAUACAGAGCCCCACUGGCUGCACCAGAGCCACAGAUCAAGUCAUGGCCCUUGACAGCAGCCCCGGGCACAGACAUCACCAUGACACUGUAUGACAAGCAGGCCAUCUACAUCAGGAUGUUCCUCCCACCCUUCCCUCUUCAGAUCUACCUCUUUCCACAGCAUAUCAAUCAUUCUGCCUUUCUCUCUCCCAUUUCCUCACCUGUUCACCAUAAUGGUGCCUGACUGCCCUGCACCAGAGGCCUGGAAGCACUGAACUGCUCCUGGAUGAUUUCUUCUCUCUAGAGACCUGGAGUGGAAGUGUGUAUCGACUCAUUUUCUUUUUUUACAACCUGAUUUUACCUUCUUCAUUGAUGACAACUUUAUGGUGUCCCUUGAAAGCACUGUGGAUCAUAUGCAAUCAUCAAAGAGAUUGUCAAAACAAAGUUAUCAGGUGCUGCAUUAAUUUGGGGACCCCAGCAUGAGGAGUCUGAGUGGAACAAGUUAUUUGAUGGUGUCAACAAAUAUGAAUCACCCCACAGAGUUUUGAAAGAAGGGUGCUGAUGUUUUUCACUUCUACAUGAGGCAUUUCUUGUGUAUGGAUUUCCAGGGUGCAAUAGGAGGGAGACACUGUGAGUAGGUGGCCUGGUAUCAUUGGUUGAGCAAAGCUCUCCAGAGAAGGAAAGAGUAUCAUAGACCAUGUAGAUCACAAAGAAUGGACAAAGGGAAUCUCAUGAAGGAAGUCCCACAGGAAUAAAAGGGGAGCUCUCCUGGAGACUUCACUGGAGAAGUAGAUCUGUACCACAUGAUGAGUGCUACACUUAUGCAGCUGGAGGAAUCACUGAUGAGCUCUCCUGCUGUAGGGAGUGUGCCUGGAAGAUGGUUCCUGCUGUUGGCUAUGACAGGGGUUUAAGGCUGGCUCAUUCUAGUCAGAUAUGACAUAAGUUAUUUGGAUGACAUUUGACAUAUUAAAAUAUGUAUUAUUCAUAAGAAAAAUUGUUUUCAUUCUUUAAUAUUUUUAUGAUAUAAAAACAUAGGUUUUAGCUAUAGAGAUGAAGCUGUGGAAAUUAUCAAGAACUGUGUGAAAUAUUCUAUUUCUCACAACUUAAGGAAUAAGCAAUGAUGGAAAUAUCUUUUCCUUACUGCUUAAAUUUGUAAAACUUACAUUAGUUAAUUUAGUGCUGAAAAGCAUGCCGGGAUACGAGCAAGCUUAUGUAACAUUUUACAUAGAUUAAUUAUUGAAAAAUUUGGAGAAGAUAAUUUCUUUUAUUUAUGCAAGCGUUAUUUUACUUCUUUAGGUUGUGUGUGUGUGUGUGUGUGUGUGUGUGUGUGUGUGUGUACUUAGAUAUGCAUUGCAUAUGCCAAUGGUCAACAUUGAAUGUCGUCAGCUAUUGCUUUUCAUUUUCUUUUUUGAGACAGGCUCUGUUAUUGAACUUGGAACUCAACAUUUUGGUUGGCCUGACGAGCCGUGAGCCUCAGGGUAGGUCCCUGUCUUUUCCUCAGCACAGAGUUUCUGUGUUUGUGCUGCUAUGCCUGGCUUUUGGAUGGGUAUGGGAAUUUGAACUCAUGUCCUCAUCCCACUGCACAGCAAGCACUCUACCCACUGAGCCACAUCCCAAGUCCCUUGCUGUUUGUAAAUUAUAUUUCUUUUAACCCAACCACCUCAUAGAUGGAAAAUUUUCAUAAUUGCCUAAGUAAAAGGAUAUAGAAACAAACAGACAUAAACUGGUUAAUACUGAUUGAGUGUUCAUUAUGCCAAACACUGUACUAAGGAUUUUGCAUUUAAUAAGUCAUUUAAUCUCCAUAUUCUUAGCCAUAGAUAAUUGGUUAUUUCAUUUUGAAGUUGAAAAAAAAAUUAGUGGAGAGUAGUAGAAAUGAAAAUGAACGAUAUAUUCUGGCUCUAGUUUUCAUUCUCUCAACCAUAACAUGCAUUAUUUUUGAUAAAUUGAAGUACAAACUCACAGCUAUUGUCCUGAGUAGCUAAAACUAGUUAGCCUAGAGUCCUCUUGCAGGAAAUCUUCAAUCGAGGAAUGACAUAGUUCAUAUUGUCCUGUGGACAUGUCUGUGGGGGAUUGUAUUGGUUAGUUAUUGGUGUGGGUAGUACCAUCCCUAGGUAGGUAGUUCUGAGUUGUAUAUGAAAGUCACCUUAGGAUAAGCUGGACUGUGAAUUAGCUAACAAUCAGUGUCCUCCACGGUUCCUGCUAUACUUCUCAGACUAUGAAGUGAAGUUUUUUGUUGGAGGCAAUACUGUGUGGAAUAGCAAGUAGGCCUGCCUUCAAGCUCCUGCCUUGAGUUCCUCUCUAGACUUCCAUCAGUGAUAAAGCUGUGGUCUGCAAUUGUAAGCUGGAAUAAACCCUUUCCUCCAUUAAGCUGCUUCUAGUGAGAGUGUUUUUAUCACUGCAGCAGAAUGAAACUAGAGUAAUUAUUUAGCAAUAAUUCUGACAACCCAAAUCCCUUGCUAUGUAAUACCUAAUUGAAAAACUACCCUAGCUGAAACUGUAAUAUAGUAAAACUUGAAAUGAUCUGAUAUGAAGCUUUUAAUCUGGUGUCAUGUCAUAUUAAUGUUUUACUGAUUAAACACUGAUGCUUUUGAAUGCG